GCGUCCGUAGCUCAAUGGCAGAGCAGCCGGUCUCUAAAACCGGACGUUGAGGGUUCAAGUCCCUCCGGACGCA
rnacentral:tRNA from 1 species